ensembl:lncRNA
AGAAGAUCAUAAGAACACACACUGUCAGCAUGUAUGAUUACACAGCAGCACUGCUACUACACAUUACUACAGGACUACUGGUACACAUUCACAAAAAUAAGCAUAAAACAUGAACAGAUGCAUAAUUCUAUGCACAGAGUUAUACAGUUACCCUCUCUCCCACUACUGGAUUUAAGGCUGCACUUCCAGUGAUGUUUAGCUCAGCCAUUACCUGUGACCUCUGCUCCUUCAGAUACAACAUGAAGGCGUUUGGUUGUUUUUUAGUAUACGCCCAGUCUUCAUCCUGCUGGGAUUGUCGGCUUCUUUUUCUACAGGAAUAAAACACAGAGUAAACGCAUGUGUUACCUCUGUGUACAACUGUGAGGAAAGCAGUUUAAUAACAUGAGUAAAGCUGUAAACCUGAAUGAAAGGAGGCACCAUUGAAGAGGCUGAUUAGCGAUAGAUCAGGUGACGGUACUAGAGACAGAGCUACUGAGUGUAGUGAUAUUUGUUGAGGAAGUUGAGCAGGUGCUUGAGCGGCUAGCUGAGCUGCAGGUGCUUGAGCGGCUAGCUGAGUUGGUUGUACUGUGGGUUUUGUUGGUUUUUUUUGUUUUCGGGUCGUCGGGAGCCGACUCUUAGAGGGGGGGGUACUGUCACGGACCCGGCUCUGGGGACUCGGGAUCCAUAAGCAGUGGGGACUAUGAUUGUUGUUGUUGUUAUUAUUAUUAUUAUUAUUAUUAUUAUUAAUAUUAUCAUCAUUUGGUGUGUCGUCUGCACUGCCUCUGGUCUCUGUCCGCAUCUGUAUGUAGGCAGAUAUAUGUGUGUGUGUUGCUGUUUUCUGUGGCCAAGUUACAGGCACCUUCAGGCCUGAGGGGCGUGGCCUGGCUUGAGGACUGGCCACACCCGAAGUCCUAGCCACACACCUGCUCCUCAUCUGGGCUCGUUGAGGGAGCUAUUUAGAAGAGCCAUGGAGCUUCCACCGACGUGGGAUUAUUGCGUUUGACGACAUGAGGAAUGCGGGUCCGAGAGCAGUGAGCACGGGGAAUGCAGAGACACAGGAGCAGAGAGCACUACACUGGGACUUUUUGGGAAGAAGACAUGACACGGGAGUCACGGGAGAGCACGGGGAUUAACUGUUAUUGUUUCCUGCACUGUAAAUAAACGCACCGUUGCAGUGAAGAGUCCUGCAUUUUGGGUCCUGUCUUCCCCGCAGACCGUGACAUAUCCAACUAAUGACAUGUCACAAAGCUCAAAUCAUCUCAAACUGGUUAAAACAAGCUUUAAAAAAUGUGUCAUUUUAAAGUGUUCUCCACAUGAAUGUACAAAAGAGUUGUUUAAUAAAUGAUAAAGACUUAUCCAGUGGUUAUAAAAUGGAGCAACAUUUGCAUAAUAACAACAGAUUCCAAUGAAAUCAAUAACACUGCUGACUGAAAUGUUAGAUGUGCACUUGAAGCCAUUUAUAAAUCGUAACUCUUUGAUCGGCUCCUCUCCACAAAAAAGCACAAGCAUACAUUUUGGGGCAUUGAACUGUAUUUUUAACCUUAUGGCAAAUCACACUAUACAAAUUAAUUAAGCAAUAAACAAUUAAAUGACAGAAAAGUUUGUUUUCCAUUUUCUGAAAGGGGAGUUUCACUGGUCUGACUCAAUUAAGAGAAAAGUGGGCGGUAUGUCACCUACAAUGUAAAAUGUGUUGAAACUCUGGUAAAUACUGAGGCACAUGCUUUUUGUUUUUGAUGUAAGUCAUGCGCCCAGGUUUGGAAAUUCCUUCACACUGUCAUCUAUCCCAGGAAUAGAUGGAUCCCAGGAAAUGAGUCAAAUAUGAUCAAAUUAACGAGGGCUCAUUUAGCUAUGAUGGAAGUGUAAACUGUUGCAUAAAAUGAUCUGAGUACUUAAAAAUUAUCAUCAUCUGUUUUUUGUUUUUUUUAAUGUUAAGAGUUUUUACAUGUAAUUUCUUCUAAAACAGAGCCGAUGUUCUGAAAAAACACCCUACAUAUUAAGCUGU